CACCAUAAAAACCAUCUUUCCAAGCAGCCAACAUGUUUCCAGUGUCUUUCUGCCCACUUGGAACUGAACCCAGCUGGACAUUUCUUCCAACAGAGGCAGACACCUGGUAGGGGGAGCCGCAUGUCGAGCGGCACGAAGCGCUCGACACCAACCGCUGCAACGCACUCGAGUCCAACCGCUGCAGCCUGAGUGGCGCGCUCGAUGGGGGGGGUGGACAUGGGCCACUGGGUGCUGGUGGAGGGGUUAGUGUAACGGCUAGGCGUUCCUGUGCACGGGGGUUUUGAUGGGGACGCGUGGGCAUAGAGGAAUAUCUGCAAACAACACGGCUCCGGCAAAACCCGAGAUGGAUGACGUCAUCCCUGCGCGGCCGGAAUGACAGCUGCGGGAACUUUGAAUCUCCCCAGCUGGGAGCACUCGGCACUCGCUCUAUAAAAGGACACUAUUACAAGCUCCCAGCAGCCGCGUCUUUGUAUUGUUUGCAAUCCGGUUUCCACCGAGAGCUGUUGUUGCCGAUUAAACCAAGAUACUCCGA